GGCAGCAGUGGGGAAUAUUGGACAAUGGGCGAAAACCUGAUCCAGCCAUGCCGCGUGUGUGAAGAAGGUCUUCGGAUUGUAAAGCACUUUAAGUUGGGAGGAAGGGCAUUAACCUAAUACGUUAGUGUUUUGACGUUACCGACAGAAUAAGCACCGGCUAACUUCGUGCCAGCAGCCGCG
rnacentral:rRNA from 1 species